rnacentral:tmRNA from 1 species
GGGGGUGUACUGGCUUCGACAGACAUCUAAGUUAAUAUAUUGCAGUGGUCUGGUAAACCUUAAAUACUACUAGGCUUUUUUAAACGGAAACGAAGAAAAAACCGAAGAUCAAGUUGUUGAUCUUAACUUUGUGGCUAUGUCACAAAGCCAAUCAAAUCUAGUAUUCGCUUAAGUAAUACUAGUCGAUUCUCUGUAUUGUCCUAUAUAGAGUAAAUCGUUGUAAGGACUUGAUAUUAAUUAUUCUAACUACAUUAAUAUGACAUUUAAGUUAGGCUAUUUUGUUAAGCUUUUUAUUUGAAUAUCUUUAAUAGUACAUGCAAAUAAAUAAACUGUAGAUUUAUAUUAACAAGGAUGUGUGGACCGGGGUUCAAUUCCCCGCAUCUCCACCA